rnacentral:rRNA from 1 species
GGUUAAGCGACUAAGCGUACACGGUGGAUGCCCUGGCAGUCAGAGGCGAUGAAGGACGUGCUAAUCUGCGAAAAGCGACGGCGAGGUGAUAUGAACCUUUGACCCGUCGAUGUCCGAAUGGGGAAACCCAGUGUGAUCCGUCACACUAUCGUUAACUGAAUACAUAGGUUAACGAGGCGAACCGGGGGAACUGAAACAUCUAAGUACCCCGAGGAAAAGAAAUCAACCGAGAUUCCCCCAGUAGCGGCGAGCGAACGGGGAGCAGCCCGGAGUCUGAAUCAGCUUGUGUGUUAGUGGAAGCGUCUGGAAAGUCGCACGGUACAGGGUGACAGUCCCGUACACGAAAAUGCACAGGUUGUGAACUCGAAGAGUAGGGCGGGACACGUGGUAUCCUGUCUGAAUAUGGGGGGACCAUCCUCCAAGGCUAAAUACUCCUGACUGACCGAUAGUGAACCAGUACCGUGAGGGAAAGGCGAAAAGAACCCCGGCGAGGGGAGUGAAAAAGAACCUGAAACCGUGUACGUACAAGCAGUGGGAGCACCUUCGUGGUGUGACUGCGUACCUUUUGUAUAAUGGGUCAGCGACUUAUAUUCUGUAGCAAGGUUAACCGUAUAGGGGAGCCGCAGGGAAACCGAGUCUUAACUGGGCGUUAAGUUGCAGGGUAUAGACCCGAAACCCGGUGAUCUAGCCAUGGGCAGGUUGAAGGUUGGGUAACACUAACUGGAGGACCGAACCGACUAAUGUUGAAAAAUUAGCGGAUGACCUGUGGCUGGGGGUGAAAGGCCAAUCAAACCGGGAGAUAGCUGGUUCUCCCCGAAAGCUAUUUAGGUAGCGCCUCGUGAACUCAUCUUCGGGGGUAGAGCACUGUUUCGGCUAGGGGGCCAUCCCGGCUUACCAACCCGAUGCAAACUACGAAUACCGAAGAAUGUUAUCACGGGAGACACACGGCGGGUGCUAACGUCCGUCGUGAAGAGGGAAACAACCCAGACCGCCAGCUAAGGUCCCAAAGUCAUGGUUAAGUGGGAAACGAUGUGGGAAGGCACAGACAGCCAGGAUGUUGGCUUAGAAGCAGCCAUCAUUUAAAGAAAGCGUAAUAGCUCACUGGUCGAGUCGGCCUGCGCGGAAGAUGUAACGGGGCUAAACCAUGCACCGAAGCUGCGGCAGCGACG